GACGAACGCUGGCGGCGUGCUUAACACAUGCAAGUCGAACGGAAAGGUCUCUUCGGAGAUACUCGAGUGGCGAACGGGUGAGUAACACGUGGGCGAUCUGCCCUGCACUUCGGGAUAAGCCUGGGAAACUGGGUCUAAUACCGGAUAGGACCACGGGAUUCAUGUCCUGUGGUGGAAAGCUUUUGCGGUGUGGGAUGGGCCCGCGGCCUAUCAGCUUGUUGGUGGGGUAACGGCCUACCAAGGCGACGACGGGUAGCCGGCCUGAGAGGGUGUCCGGCCACACUGGGACUGAGAUACGGCCCAGACUCCUACGGGAGGCAGCAGUGGGGAAUAUUGCACAAUGGGCGCAAGCCUGAUGCAGCGACGCCGCGUGGGGGAUGACGGCCUUCGGGUUGUAAACCUCUUUCACCAUCGACGAAGGUUCGGGUUUUCUCGGAUUGACGGUAGGUGGAGAAGAAGCACCGGCCAACUACGUGCCAGCAGCCGCGGUAAUACGUAGGGUGCGAGCGUUGUCCGGAAUUACUGGGCGUAAAGAGCUCGUAGGUGGUUUGUCGCGUUGUUCGUG
rnacentral:rRNA from 1 species